AACCGGCAUCCAGGAACAGAGCACUUCACUCCUCCCUCAGAAUGAACGGAGAUCAGAAAUUGGAUGUUUAUGCCCAAGAAAAGCAGGAUUUCAUCCAGCACUUUUCUCAGAUUGUCAGGGUGCUAACUGAGGAUGAGAUGGGGCACCCAGAGACAGGAGAUGCUAUUUCCCAGCUUAAGGAGGUCUUGGAGUACAAUGCCAUUGGAGGCAAGUACAACCGGGGUAUGACGGUGCUGGUAGCAUUCCGGGAGCUGGUGGAGCCAAAGAAACAGGAUGCUGAUAGUCUCCAGCGGGCCCUGACCGUGGGCUGGUGUGUGGAACUGCUGCAAGCGUUCUUCCUGGUAGCAGAUGAUAUCGUGGAUUCAUCCCUAACCCGCCGGGGGCAGCUCUGCUGGUAUCAGAAGCCAGGCAUAGGUUUGGAUGCUGUCAAUGAUGCUCUGCUUCUGGAAGCAUGUAUCUACCGCCUGCUGAAGCACUAUUGCCGGGAGCAGCCUUAUUAUCUGAACCUGAUCGAGCUCUUCCUGCAGAGUUCAUAUCAGACUGAGAUCGGGCAGACCCUGGACCUUAUCACAGCCCCCCAGGGCAAUGUGGAACUUGGCAGAUUUACUGAAAAGAGGUACAAAUCUAUUGUCAAGUACAAGACAGCUUUCUACUCCUUCUAUCUUCCUGUAGCUGCAGCCAUGUAUAUGGCAGGCAUUGAUGGGGAGAAGGAGCAUGCCAACGCUAAGAAGAUCCUGUUGGAGAUGGGAGAGUUCUUUCAGAUUCAGGAUGAUUACCUUGACCUCUUUGGGGAUCCGAGUGUGACAGGCAAGGUUGGCACUGACAUCCAGGACAACAAAUGCAGCUGGCUGGUGGUUCAGUGUCUACAACGCGCCACUCCGGAACAGCGCCAGAUCUUGCAGGAGAAUUACGGGCAGAAGGAGGCGGAGAAGGUGGCCCGGGUGAAGGCACUAUACGAGGAGCUGGAUCUGCAGGCUGUGUUCCUGCAGUAUGAGGAAGACAGUUACAGCUACCUCAUGAGUCUCAUCGAGCAGUACGCUGCACCCCUUCCCCGGGCCAUCUUCUUGGAGCUAGCACGCAAAAUCUACAAGUGGAAGAAGUGACCUACACUGCAAGGAUGGGGAGAGGAGGCUCUCAAUAAAUUAUUGUAUAACCUUAAAAAAAA